rnacentral:lncRNA from 1 species
CUCAUCGUCGCGCCGCCGCCGCCGCCGCCGCCGCCUCGGCGCGGGAUUGGGGGGCUCUCCUCGGCCUUCUCGGUCUUCGUCUCACUUAUCUCUCCCCCCUCUCCCCCCCCCCCUUUUCAGCGCAGCUCGGAACUGGCCCUUUAAGAAAACAUUCCGUGUUCGGCGCUCCCGCCCGGGGCCCGCACCCCGGACACUUUAAAAGGACCCAGGUGGCCCCGGAGGCGAGGUGACUAUCCCCCCACCCUGCCCCUGCGUCGCGGCGCGUCGCGCUGCUGCUCCCGCCCCAGCCGGGGCCGAAGAUGGGGCGGCGGCUGCGGUUUUCCACACGACUUCCUUGGAUCUCGGGGCACACGCGCCGAUAGUUCGGACGCGAGUCCGGGCUGGUUUUGCUCCGUUUUACUGCGUUUGAUUACUAAUUUAAAAGCUUUGCGUUCCCCGUC